GCUAAAUUAGCUCAGUCCGGUAGAGCAACUGAUUCGUAAUCAGUAGGUCGGGGGUUCGAAUCCCCCAUUUAGCUCCA
rnacentral:tRNA from 1 species